AAUAGCCAAUUUGCUUGUAGUCUGAAUAACUCAGAAAUUGUAUGUGUUUACAUCAACUUUGUCUCUUGCUUCGGCCUUGAGAUAUUUGUUAAACUAGGACACUAAAUUU